rnacentral:tRNA from 1 species
GAGAUUUGGCUCAGUGGUAGAGCACUUGCCUAGCAAGCACAAGGCCCUGGGUUCGGUCCCCAGCUCA